rnacentral:lncRNA from 1 species
CGGAAGCCGAGGCUGAAGGAGAGGCCGCGGAAGCCAAGACUGAGUUGAUGAAGAUGAGGCCGCGGAAGCCGAGGCUGAAGGAGAGAUGAGGCCGCGGAAGCCGAGGCUGAAGGAGAGGCCGCGGAAGCCAAAGAUGAAGGAGAGGCCGCGGAAGCCAAGAAUGAAGGAGAGAUGAGGCUGCGGAAGCCAAGGCUGGAGAUGAGGCCGCGGAGGCCGAUGCUGGAGAUGAGGCCGCGGAAGCCGAGGAUGAAGUAGAAGAACGUGCCUUCUACCACGUCUUAGAUGAGGAUGAGGCGCGCCCUUUUUAUCCAAAUCCUUCUUCUAAUUUGUAUGAUCACCCCCCAGUUUCGGAGUAUGAGCUUGACUUGAAGAUGCAGGUUGGAGAAGACAGUGUUGCGAAGAUGUGUUGUGAUAUAUUUUUACUCUGAAUCUUGAAGACUGAAGUGUUGGAUGUGUCUCUGUAUACAAUUAUAUUUAGCAAAAUAAUAAGGUUAGUAUUUACCUCAUGACGCGCCCUGUUAGGGGAAGGCGCGCCCCAUUUUCUCUCCUUCGCAUUAUCCCUAGCUCUUUCCUUUACUUUCGGCCAAAGAUUUUGUCCCAUCUCCUUAUAUGCUUCACCCUUGAGACCUUAUGGUGUGCCUUGUUAGGCUAGACAUUUUUUCCAGAAAAAGUUUCCAAGAGAGUACGUCCGGGACAUGUCUCUUGAAAAUAUUGUCCCUGCAAAAUACUUAAUUGAAAACACUGAUACCCUAAAAAUUAGGUAGCACUUUGAUAGUCAUUCUUAGUUAAAAACAGCUUAAUAAAACAAAAACAUCAGGAGCUAAAUAAGAAACGAACGAUAUAUAUUAAUUAUAACAACCAUCUACAUCAACAAUAUAAUAAAAACAUUUACAAUAUAAUAAUACAUUUAUAUAUUAUAGAAAAUAAGGAAAAACUUAUCUCUGUUAGUGAGUGUCUCAUCCAAAAUUAAAUAUGGCAAAGACACAGUAGAAUAUAGCUCCCAUGCACCCGCAUUGGUUACCUGACUUGAUCACAUGAGUUGAGUCCACCUAUAUAAAUUUUUUGAACUACACAAUAGUACUUAAAAACAAAACUUAUUAGCGUGAACACAUAUAAUAUGCUCAAAAAUGAUAUAAGAUAUUUUUACUUUUAAGAAUAAAAGCAAAUAUGUAAUAUGAAGAUUAUCUGAAAUAGAUGCGGCAAAUAAUAGAAAUUAGAAAACUUAUCCUAUUUUAUUCGUGCCAAAUUUGGAGACGGAUACUCCGGAAGGAUUUCGUGCUUUUCACCUGUGCUAACUGUAUGUACCAUAAUUCACCAGUUCUCCACAUCUGUCUCUUUAGUACAAAAUCAAUUUAAUUACGCAUGUCACAAAAGGGCCGAAAUUAUAAAAUAAAAUUUAAUUUUGAGUUUACACAACAAAUUUCAAAUUAAUGUAAUAAUAUGUCAAGCAAAAUCCACGCAUGAACAUUAGUUAGUAUAAUAUGUACUGCAUGACAAAAUAUUAUUAAUGCAUGGCACGAUUAUUUAUGCGAUAUGAAAAUUAGUAUAAGAAAACUUAUCAUUCGGCUGUUGGAAGUUGGAAUCGCCACCGGCUGACUCCGAGCUCCUCUGUUUUAUUAACUGGCUGGUUGAUUCUAAACACUCUGCAGUAACUUUCCUUUUCACCGACGGUCCAGGACAUCCACUUUGCUUUUUGUUUUCUUUUCUGCGAGGCACGCUACAAAUCAUAUUAAAAACCGGUUAGGUAAUAAACUCCUAAACAAUCUCUAACUUCAAUAUUAAAAAUUAGUUUAUAAAGUAAAUCAUAAUAAUAUUUAAGAUAUAUUGAUCAGUGAGUAGAAAAUAUAAUAUAACUAAAACAAGAUUAUAUUAAUUCAACAUGCAAAUUAAAUUAUGUUUAUAAAAUAUAUAUAACUCGCAACUUAUCAUAAAAAUAUUUUUGGAACAGGACCUAUGCAGUAUGAUAAACAAAUAACUUAAUAAGC